AAUAUAAGAUUUAACCUGCCCGCUGAAUAAUUGAAUGGCCGCGGUAUUUUGACCGUGCAAAGGUAGCAUAAUAAUUAGUUUUUUGAUUGAAAGCUGGAAUGAAUGGUUGGACGAGAAAAUAACUGUCUCUGAUUAAAUUUUUAAUAAAACUUUAUUUUUAAGUUAAAAAGCUUAAAUUUUGUUAAAAGACGAGAAGACCCUAUAGAGUUUAAUAUUUUUUUAUUAGUAUAAUUUUAAGAAUUUAAUUUUUGCUUUUAUAAGAAUAUUUCAUUGGGGUGAUGAAAAGAUUUAUUAAACUCUUUUUUUAUUAAAACAUUUAUAUAUGAUUAUUUGAUCCAUUUUUUAUGAUUAUAAGAAUAAAUUACCUUAGGGAUAACAGCGUAAUCUUUUUAGAGAGUUCUUAUCGAAACAAGGGAUUGCGACCUCGAUGUUGGAUUAAAGUUAAUUUUUGGUGUAGAAGCUAAAAAAUUGAGUCUGUUCGACUUUUAAAACUUUACAUGAUCUGAGUUUAAACCGGUGUGAGCCAGGUUGGUUUCUAUCUUUAUUUAGUUAAAAUAUUUUAGUACGAAAGGACCAA
rnacentral:rRNA from 1 species